UCUCUUAAUUGGAGGCUUGUAUGAAUGGUUGGAUGAGGGAAUUUCUUUCUUUAAAUUAAUUUGUUGAAUUUAAUUUUUAAGUUAAAAAGCUUAGAUUUUUGAGUGGGACGAGAAGACCCUAUAGAAUUUUAUUUAUAUUUAAUUUUUUAAUUAUUGGUUAAUAUUUUAUUAUUAUUAUUAUUAAAUUUUGUUGGGGUGACCGUAAGAUUAUUAUAACUCUUAUAAUUUAUUUUUUACUAAUUUGUAUAUUAAAAAUCCUAUUUUAAGGAUA
rnacentral:rRNA from 1 species